CUUUACUGUACUCUUUUCCCCCUCUCUUCGCAGGUCAUCCGUGUGCUGGGAUUGCCACGUCUGGUGCUGGUGGCUGCUUCGUAUCUCCUGCUGUUCGAUUCUUCCCGUGUUCUACUAUACAAGAGCAUUUCAUUUGUGAGCGUGGAUGAGGUUUCCAAAAACGAAUCUGGAGGGGCGGAACACAUUGCCGUCGGUUUUUGGCUAUUGUAUUUGUCUGCGUGUCAUGCUUUAGAUUUCUUCACGGACAGAUGCCGAAGCUUAUGUGUCUGAUGGCCAGAUCGUCUGAUCCGAAGUGAUUUUACGCAUCCAUCAUUGCAAAAGUACUGUUGGUGGUUGGCGGGAGGCACCACCACCACACAUCGUGCUGGCGUUGGGAGGAGCGCUGGUGCCCGAUGGUAAGAGCCUGCUGACCAAACUGUUCUUGCACAUCGUGUCAUCACCAUUGCUGGGAGGAGCAACUGGUGGAGCUCCGUCUGUCUUGCACAUCCCCGAUACGUUGUGCUAGACUGCCUAACCUUCCCUGCUUUUUCACCAUCACUGAGGUCUCCAGCUAGCAGCGCAACAUAUAUAGCGGAGGUUCUGGAGAGAUGGAGGUCUGAAAUCUUAGCCUCCGUCGUGCACGGCGGUUGACGUAAUGGUGCUCACAGUGGAAUUGGAUUGGUCAAUGGCGACAUCCCAGUUCAUGCAAAGAUCAACAACCUCUAGGGCCUAUAUAUAUCAGCCGGUACGCUUCAGCCAUGGGUAUUUUUUUGUACUGCUCAACAUAAAUACAUUUUAUCAUGUAUUUGUAGUAUAUCACAUUGUCAGUUGUUCUACAGUACUCUCCCUUGUUUUUGAUGCAUGUUUGAUAUAUAAAUCUAAUCGAUUAUGGAGCUCUUGGUGGCUGUAAAUUGUUCUAUACGGAAAACAAUUGAUUUGUGCCAAUUUUCUCGGUCUCCUCGGUUCUUGAGUUUGUCCAUGAAUUUCAGCUAAGCCAUAAAUGACACGUUUGAGCAAUAUGUUCUGACUAAACAAGAUGUGCAACGGAAGAAUCGUCGGGUCUCAGGUUCAUGGACAAAAUAUGGCGUGUAUGAUCGCAUCUCUGGAUAUGAACCACAUCUUCAAGGCAAAGGGUUUAGAGGGAAAGCUUUCUUGAGAAGGCAGGAGCGAUGCCUUAUGUCGAGGUUACUAAUGGAAUGUAUGCCUUUUCCUUGGUGCCGCAAUCCUUGAAGAAAUUACAUGACAGCGAUAAGUGACCCAGUCUUGCCUAUAAACAUCACAUCUUUUGUGUUUUAUGUUUUGUCUAUUUGUCUGAAGAAAAGUAAAUCUAUAUUAUGUAGUACAAAAACUUUUUUCAUGCAAUAUUUUGAGCUAACAUUGCCCACAUCUCAUUUCUAUUUAUUUGCAGAUUGGCAUGCAGAUAGUUUGGUUUGGCUAUUUAUGCAUUGGAAAAAUAAUGUCCAGACCCAGUCAUGUUUUUCUGUUUGUUAAAAUGGAAAUGCCCAUGAUAGGUAUUACAAAGCAUUAGGUGUAUGCCUUUAUGAAAGCAAAAAACAAAGACUAUUCGAGCUGGUAGUGGUUCAAAAUUUUGAAACUCACUAAUACAAAGUCCUAACCAAUGUCUUGAUAAUUAUAUUACGGGGUUAUGAUAUUAGAAGAGCUCUGAAUAGAGGAGUAGAGGCUUAUCCCUAAUUCUGCAUCUAGAAGUCAUCAAUUAGUAUUGGAAACCUCAAAAUAUGAAGUGAUAAAGGCAUGAAUUGUGUUGAUUCAAAAAAGGUGUAUUUGCCUCCAUUUUGAGAAAAUGAAAACUUUUGUGGUUUACAGUGGUACAUGGCUCCUUAGUACUCUUAUUUAGAUCCAUUAGCAUUUGUUCUCAUCCACCAAUACAUUGAACAUGCUUGCCACUUCCAUAACCUGCUAUUUACAGUGGUACGUGGCUCCUCGGUGGUAAUGGGUAGCUAAUGCUUUAUGGGACAGUUAAAAGAUCACGGUAUCUAUCUAUAUUUAUCCUGACAGUUAGACCCUGCAACUCAAGAAGGUUAGAGAUUGAGCUUUGGAGAAUAAUAUGCGAAAUGUGUUGCUUUCCCAAUUAGAAAGGUUGUGCCAGAAGAAUACAUGCAUCUACCAGCCGUAUUUUCCCCAGACUUUCAUAUAUUUAACAUUUAUGUAUGUAUGGCCGUGUGCUUUGCUCUAGCUUAAGACUACCAGUGAUGUGUAUUUCCAUGUGCUCUCUAAUAUAUAACUUUUAUGUCUGUAGGAGCAAUGUGCUUUGCUCUUACUAAGAUUACCACUGGUAUGUAUUUUUAUGUGUUCCUUAGAUGUUUUUGAUAUGACAUAUAUGAAUAUAAAUCUCGAAGAUUGGCAUCUGCCUAAAUACUUGGUUGAUCUUCCGUUGAUUUCUUGAUUACAUAGCAGCGAUUUUAUAUUAGAUGUCAUAUCAUGUGAGGUAGUUUUGUGUGCUGUUUUGUAUAACUAAGAAAUAUUUUAUCAUAUUGGUAGUUAAUAUUAUCAUCAUUAUACAAAAUGAACAUUGGCAUAAACUACACGGGAUUGUGCGCCAACUGAUAAUUUUUGAAAUGGAUAGUUAUUCGCUUUUAAUUUAUUGCUUGCUUAUUAUCAAUGUUUACAAAUGGAUACAAAAUAAACACGGGUACCUCAAGCCUAUUUGGAAGAGUGCUAUUGUUUGUGCCUAUUUUGUUCUGCACUUACCGCUUACUCAUAAUAGAUUUUUUGCAUGGUUAAUAUAUAUAGUUGUUUGCAAGUGGAAAAGUCACUAUUUUUUUUGCAUUACAGUUACAUCUUAGUAGUUUUUCCUACCUGCUUACUUAACCUUCCGUUGGUUUUCAUGGCUAAAACCAAUUUCUAUUCAGUACUGCUCCAAUUCAUCUUCAUAUAGUACUGAAACAAGAAGCAAAUGAGUGAUAUGUGGUAUUGA